CCUAGUCGAAUUCGUUUCCGCUGGGCCACGACGAGAAUUUCUGAACCUCUUCUAUUGUCAGCUCACCUUUUCUGGCUACUUAGUGCUCCUUCAAACUUCCUCUACUCAAACUUUAAAGCAGUUCUUCCCUCUUGGAAGAUUAUUUUUGCUCCCGCUUCACGAAGAGAAUGGAAGCCAUACUUUCAUGUUUUGGCCACCAAAUGGAACAAACUAAACUGGAUUUAUACUAGUGCUCGGCUCUGUCUUCUCAAUAGUGAAGAAGCUGUUCCCCUCGCCAGCCUCAAGAACCUCAUGCUACCAAUUAUCUCCUUUCCACAGUAUCCUUAGCCUUUUCUGAACCAAAUUCUUUCCAUGAGCAUGCUCUAAGCCCUCACUUAAAAGGAAAAAAACAAAACUUCUCCUAUUUAGCCACCCAUUUUCUCUCCCUCAGCUCCCUCCCUUUAGCUAAACUUGUCACAAGUGUUGCCUACACUUUAACAGACCUAAAUUCUAGUUCCAAAUAUUCAUGGUGCAAGAAAGUCCUCUCUGUGCAACUCAAUUUUUUCCCAAUCCCCCAUUCUGCCACAUGGCAGAGACUUGAGAUGGCAGGAUCCAGGCUCUCCGGGCUUUUUUGGCACCAAAGCCCAGGUGAGCACCAGUAUUCAUUGAUCAGCCAUCUGUGCUGGCAUCCCCUAAGGCCCCAUCAAACUGUCGGGUCACAUCCACAGCAGGCUGCGUGAAUGAGCCCCACUUAGUCUGAGAGGACCCAGCUCUAGCUUUAGACAACUUUAGGGCACCUCUUUGGAUGCAGGAAGAUUUGCUCCAUUCUGCACCAACGGAGGGCUGCAGCAACCCUUAUAAUGCUGUCUAAAGAUUUUUUUAAAUUAUUUUUUAAUAAUAUUGAUUAUUUGAAACUUUUUUUUUAGUAUUGUUGGGUCAAUUAAAAUGAUCCAUAAAGUAGGCUUGGAGGGCCUAUGUAUAGAAGUGAGAAUCUCUGUGACCUGCUCCCCAGUGAAACAAGUGGAGCUGAUGAAAAUUACUUAAAAAGCAAGCAUUUGAAGUCUCUAGAGAUUGUCUUAAAAGUGAAAGCAUGGGUGAUGGUCAGUCAUAUCCAUUUCAUCUGCUUUCACUAAUCAAGGGAGCUUUAAGACUUGCAGGUUCCCUGCAGCAUGAGGCCUACAGAGCAAGGUGUUUGCCUGAGUUAUUGUUCAGGAACUUGGAGUCAGCUGCCUCUCGUUUGCACUGAGCCACUUAAGAGUGGGUGGGACCACCCGCUCUCCAGUGAGGCCUAUGGGAGUGUGUGCUCCCUGACCUUUUGAUGUCAGAGGCUGGAAAACCACCCUGAGGUGGUACAGAGGCCUGUAGGCCAGUUACGCCUGCGCAGAGCGAUGACAACAUACCUUUUCCCAAUCACCCGCCCCGCUUCCCACGCCCCCACGCCCCCCACGCCUCAGACCGCCCUCCAUCUUUAUUCGUUAUCCCAACAAUACCCAGGCGCUGAACUUUGGGAGGCGGUUUUGAGGUUUGCAAUUGUCUUCUCGCUUGGCUGCUUUGCGAGAGCAUUCUCUUUUGCAUCACAUCUCAGUGCCUCGGCCUUUGGCAUGCUGUGAGUUGGGCAAGACCAACCUGGUUCAGUAAUGAGAGCGUGUAGCAAAUGACGAAACAGUAAUGUAAGAAAGUCUCCUAUCACUCCGUAAGAAGAGCGAGAGCGUGUGGAAUUUGAAUUAUAACCCACUUCAGGUUAUGUGAUGGAAACUCCACUUCAGCAAUGAAUGAGAGUUCCUGUUGCUGCACAUCCUUUUCAGCAUUUGGUGUUGUCAGUGUUUUCGGCUUCAGCCAUUCUUAUAGGGUGAGAGUAACAGAGCGGGAUCUAAGUUUUUGAUGCUGUAUUUUCUUUUGGAGGAAGAAAUGAGCAUGAAAUGUGGAAGAGAUAGCAAUAAUACUUAGAGCUUAAAAAGUACUUCUGGAUGUGUCUGAUUUCCUUUGAAGGCACAAACGUGUAUCUGCAUGGAAAAGCUCAGGCUUGUGUGCUAUUUUCUUGAGCAAAUAUCCCUGGACUUUUUUGUUUUAAUGACACUGAGCCUCUGGAUUCUGAGGUCCUCUCCAAAACUAAUGCUGGCAUUGGAUGGUUCAUUUUGCAGUUUUUCAAAAUUUUGUUUAACUAGGGGACCUUAGAAAAGGCAGUCAGGGUGCCACCAGCAAGGAAAGAGAACUGGAACUACAGGGAAGAAGGCAAUGGUGUGAGGUUGGAAAUAUAUUCCAGGUAGAGUGCAUAUCAUGCUGGGGUCCAGAACAGGCAGCAAAGCAUUUAGGCAGGAGGAAGAGAGGCUCUAAUGGCAAUGGGGGAGGGUGGCAGUGGGCCAGGUCAGGGAGUAGCAAGGGCCUUCUAAGAAGUUCAGUCUUUACUUUGAGGGCACCGGUGUGUAACUUAAGUAAGGGGAUGAAUUUGCACUUUAAAAAAAUCACUCUGCCUGCAGAACAGAGAAAGAAUUGGGAAGGAUCAAAAGUAUUGGGUUGCAAAUUAGCUUGCUGAUAUAGUAAUCCAGGUGAGAGCUGAUGGUGGCCUGAAAUGGGUAGUGGGCAGAUUCUAGAGCUAUUUACGGGGUUUGAAUAGAACUGGCCUGACUUGUUGAUGGGUGAAUUGUGGUGGACAAGGGUCAAAAAGAUGAGGUCCAGACUUCUGGCUUAGGCAACGAUGUGGAGAGUGUAACAGCAAACCUAGGAAGAGCAGGCUGGAGUAGGGUAGGUGGGGAGACAGUGAAUUUAGUGUUUGAAAUAUUGGCAAGAGAACCAAGUAGUAAUUUCUAGUAGGCAUGUGGACAAAUGGGUCUGAAAUCCUACAGAAAUCUGGAAGACAAAGCAUUGGUGUGGGUUAUAACAUGCAUGAAUAUAAGGCAGCCAGGGGAAUAUCAAGAUAAAAAAGGCAGGGCUGGAGAUAAGCCAGCACUGACGGGCCAAGGACAAGCAAGAGGGGGACCCUUCACAGGAGGCAAUGGAGGGGCCUACAUGGAGUUACAGCACCAAGAGAAGAAGGUGGUUCAUCACGGGGCCAGUGAGCAUUGAUGUCAUGCACCACCAAGAAGUCGAGGAAGAUAAGGGACUGCAGAGUGUCCCCUGGCUCUGUCAACAGGAAAGUGAGUGUCCUUAGUGAGAAGAGCUUUGAAGAAGAAGGACUAGAGCAAGGUGAGGAAAAGCAAAUGGGUGAGUGCAGACAAGCUUUUCAAGAACUUGCUGUGUCAAAAAGGAGAAAAUGGGAGUUCCUGUUGUGGCUCAGUGGAAACGAACCCGACUAGUAUCCAUGAGGACUCAGAUUCGAUCCCUGGCCUCGCUCGGUGGGGUUAAAAUCCAGUGUUGCCAUGAGCUAUGGAGAAGGUCACAGACAAGGCUCAGAUCGGUGUUGCUGUGGCUGAGGCAUAGGCCAGCGGCUACAGCUCCAUUAGACCCCUAUCCUGGGAACCUCCAUAUGCUGCAUGUACUGCCCUAAAAAGACCAAAAAAAAAAAAAAAAAAAAAAGUGGCAGAGAGGGAUGUGUAGCCUUAAGAAGUGUGUAUGUAUGAAGGGCUGGGACUUGAACAUGUGACAUACAGAGAGGGCGAGGUGGGAGACUGAGGGGAGAGGGGUAGGAUCCUCUGACUGGGUGGGGUCCCCAAGGAGAAAGAAAGGAAGGGUCGGAGCCGAAGCCCCGUCAGAUGGAAACACUGGACGGGACAGGCAGCAUCGUACUCUUCCUCAGAGCAGGAGGCGAGACAAGGGAGGAGGAAGAGAGGACAAAGCUUGUUUUCCCAUUUGGAUUGUUUCCUUCUUGGGAACAAUCCUUUCUUUCCUGGACAAGGAAAUUCAGUUCUAGUUUCAUGGGACCCCCCAGAGCUGCCCCCCGGAGCCCACAGGCCCCUGUUCGGGAUAACAAGUCACCAACUCUUUCUCGUUACAAGAGUACGGGGGCAAGGCCCAGGCCUCCUCAAGGCAGAGUCGAGAACAAGUAGUACAGACGGUGUAUAGGCAGCUUUGAGAGGAAUGAAGAGUCAGGGGAACACUGGGGAUGAGGAGAAAGGUAUGCUUUCCAAGAAGAGUGUGUGGGAGUUCCCGCUGUAGUGCAGUGGGUUAAGAAUCCAACUGCAGUGGUUCAGGUUUGAUCUCCGGCCCAGGAACUUCCAUAUGCCAUGGGUGAGGCCAUUUAAAAAAAAAAAAAGAGGAGUGUAUGGAUCCCAUCUGAGAUCUGAACUCAGCAGCUAAAAGCAGCUGGAGAGGAAGGGAUGAAAGUGGCUCAAAUGCAGAUCAUAAUGCGGAGUAAAGAAAGGGGAAGGAGGGUAGAAAAAGGAAGAAAAAAAAAAAGAGCUUGGGAGACAGCAGACUGAGACACGCAGAACUAUCCAGAGAGCCCAGGUCAAAAGUAUCCCACUUGGCCAGAUACUACUUCAGUAGACUGAUCUUCUUACUUGUAUUUAUUUGAAGUAUGUUCUAUUUGUACUACAAGCCCUUUUGGCAAGAUUUUGAAAUCCUUCCCCUCAAGGAGAAACUUUGCUGGAUGCAAUCUCACAGUAAACAGAUCAUGUGGAAUUUUAAACGUACGACCUUGUCGAUAGAGGCUGAAAAGCUAGGGACUAAAGCAGCUUUCUGCCCGGUUCCUCACUCUGGAGGAAGCAGCUCCUGUGAAGGCUUGUGGAGCGCAGGGUUGCCUGGGAGCUGGGGAGGGGCAGAGGGCCUGCACUCUCUGGGGGCGGAGACAAUGUUUUGACUGGUAUUCUGGAGUGGGGAGUGCCAGAGGAGCUGCAAAAUGCUCAAAAAAAGGAAUUUUAGGUUUAGCAAUACUUUUAAGCUAUUUAUACACAGAGCAUCCUAACAGACUUGGAGACAUAGUCAUUACCUAUUUUGGGAACUAAAUCAAACCAUAUACAAGGACACAGGAAGAGUUUUUCCUGGGCUGAGUGUGAGGGUUCUUACCCAGGAUGACUGUGGAGGCAGAGGUGUCAGGGAGGGGCGGGUCCAUUGAGUUAUGGUGACACUGCACAAGUCAUCCCCUCCCGCCCCAUUGCCUUGCAACUGAGGCCUUCUGAGCAGACAGAAUUGACUUAGGAGACUGUCCCCACAAAGCACAGAAAAGCUGACUUAGGAGACUGUCCCCACAAAGCACAGAAAAGCUUAGGCCCAGAGUGAGAGAUCACUAACACUCCUGGGCUACCUGCUGGUGCAACACCAACAGUAUCAUUCGGGAGAGAACUCAGCCAAGCUGCUGAACAACACGGGACACAGUGGGAGGGGCUGCAUGGGGUGUAUCAUGGAAAUGACAAGAGGCUGGGUCACUACAUCUGACUGGUUGGUGCCUGGCCAUGAAAAAUACAAAUUAUCUUCAAAUACCAAGCACAAGGAUGUAUACCAAUUGCAUAUAAAUCUAUCCCAUACUUGCUAGGCAAGGCAUUUGAAUUGACUGCCACUUCUCAUACAACUCACAGAGAUAAGACCAGCCCCAAGCAGUUUACCCCCCACCUUAUGACACCUGAGAGUGUUUUGAUGAAGAUGACAGUGCUAAGGGUUUCACAGUGGCUUUUGUGGUUGUGAGAAUGGUGAGCCAAGACCAAGACAUACUUGUGUCAUGGCUUAAGCACUGAAUCAGUAUAUGCAAUGCACUCUGUGAUCUCACAGGGCUGAGAGUCUCGAUAUCCUGUGAAAUAGAUGCUUUCCUUCAAAGCUAGUAGAUUAUAAGACCUGCUAAGGAAUAACAAGUGUGACAGCAGCAGGAGAGACAGAUUCUGGCGCCGAGGGUCCUAGGCAUUUGAUAAACUCGGGACCAUCCUUCUCACCCAUCAUUUUGAGAAACAGGAGACUCAAGUCAUAAUGUCUUCUAACAGAGCCACAUGGAACCUUGGUUCAACCUCCUUGAUUCUGAGGCAAGGAUAUGGUCUACUGGCAACAACCAAGUCUCCCCAGGAUACCCCUCCAGAGAGUCUGGGGUCACCUGUGCUCUGAGAGUUGCCUGGCA